GACUACCGGGGUAUCUAAUCCUGUUUGCUACCCACGCUUUCGUGUCUCAGCGUCAGUUACAGUCCAGUAAGCCGCCUUCGCCACUGGUGUUCCUCCUAAUAUCUACGCAUUUCACCGCUACACUAGGAAUUCCGCUUACCUCUCCUGCACUCAAGUCAUACAGUUUCAAGUGCCAACCAUGGUUGAGCCAUGAUCUUUUACACCUGACAUAUAUAACCGCCUACUCACCCUUUACGCCCAGUAAAUCCGGACAACGCUCGCCCCCUACGUAUUACCGCGGCUGCUGGCACGUAGUUAGCCGGGGCUUCCUCCUUGGCUACCGUCCUUUUCUUCACCAAGGACAGAGUUUUACGAUCCGAAGACCUUCUUCACUCACGCGGCGUCGCUGCAUCAGAGUUCCCUCCAUUGUGCAAUAUUCCCCACUGCAGCCCCCCGUAGG
rnacentral:rRNA from 1 species